rnacentral:lncRNA from 1 species
ACCACUAGGUCCCAAAGGAAAAAGGGUAAGUACGAUAAGCAACAAAAAUGAUAAUAAUAAUGGCGAUAAUAAAGCAGGUGUAACUACUAAACCAUAAGCAUUACGACGUCAAUGUGCUGUACAUUUACUAUUUCAUAAAGAAGAAUAUCCAAUGCAUAAGUAAUAUGUCCCAACAUAAUAAGCAAGUAGGUAUCAUGGUAGUAAGUAUACUAUGAUGCAAUAAAUAAGACUAUCAUGUAUACUACAAGUCCCAACGCUAUGCUAUAAGCAUGUCAAGGUAAUCCAACUACUAAACCUAUCUAGUAGUGAUAGUCAUUUUUGUUAGAAAAUUGCAUACGGUAAAACGCAACGGAAAAAGAAAUCAAAUAAAUUUGAUUUUGAAAACUCUCAAGAUACAAUCUCAAAAACCAUGCAAUUAGGAUCCCUCAUGUUCUUGAAGAUUAAAGGAGAAAAGUAAGAUAGAAUCUUUACCUUAUUCGCGGAUAAAUCUUCACCUCAAUUUCAUGAUCGUGGAAUUCGGUUCUCUUGAAGCCGCACACGCGUCCGGCCUCUAUAGGUAUCCACACGAGGUUCUUGAUUUGAUCGAUGUCCUCACCGGGGUGCUAGUUCCCUUGCAAAAUGACGUCUUUCUUGCUAGAAGAUGGAAGAGAGAAGAGAGGAUAGAUGACGGCUAGGGUUUUCUAAAAACUCCCGUAUAUUAUAUAUAGGAAUAUAAUCCUAUUCCUAAUAAUAUAAUGACAAUUAAGGAUAAGUAUAAAUCUAAAUUUAAAUUUAUCUUUUCCUUAAUUGGUUAGAUCGAUCAAAUCCUAAUUUGAUUCGACUUGAAUUUUAUAUUAAUUUGAUCUUAUUAAAUUAAUAAUGCAACAUUUGCACAUAAGUCCUCUUAUAAUUUACUAACUAUUAGUAAGUCCUCUCUUGUAACAUUCACAUAUUAAUACCACUAAUUUGUAACAAUUACAAAUUAGUCCAAUUAUCAACAUAUUGACAAUUAGGUCCUCCGGCGAUUCAAUAAUCGCGAUCUUGCUAUCCGAUCAAUCACAACCUAUUAUGUGUGUG